rnacentral:rRNA from 2 species
GUGGGGAAUCUUAGACAAUGGGGGAAACCCUGAUCUAGCCAUGCCGCGUGAGCGAUGAAGGCCUUAGGGUUGUAAAGCUCUUUCAGCUGGGAAGAUAAUGACGGUACCAGCAGAAGAAGCCCCGGCUAACUCCGUGCCAGCAGCCGCGGUAAUACGGAGGGGGCUAGCGUUGUUCGGAAUUACUGGGCGUAAAGCGCACGUAGGCGGAUCAGAAAGUCAGAGGUGAAAUCCCAGGGCUCAACCUUGGAACUGCCUUUGAAACUCCUGGUCUUGAGGUCGAGAGAGGUGAGUGGAAUUCCGAGUGUAGAGGUGAAAUUCGUAGAUAUUCGGAGGAACACCAGUGGCGAAGGCGGCUCACUGGCUCGAUACUGACGCUGAGGUGCGAAAGCGUGGGGAGCAAACAGGAUUAGAUACCCGGGUAGUCC